UACAGAGGGGGCAAGCGUUGUUCGGAAUUACUGGGCGUAAAGGGCGCGUAGGCGGCCUUCUAAGUCGAACGUGAAAUCCCCGGGCUCAACCCGGGAACUGCGUCCGAUACUGGGAGGCUUGAAUCCGGGAGAGGGAUGCAGAAUUCCAGGUGUAGCGGUGAAAUGCGUAGAUAUCUGGAGGAAUACCGGUGGCGAAGGCGGCAUCCUGGACCGGCAUUGACGCUGAGGCGCGAAAGCUAGGGGAGCAAACGGG
rnacentral:rRNA from 1 species